CAGGGACCAAAGUUGCAAUUAAGCCUAUAAAAUAAACACAAUGAUGGAUCAUUACAUGCUUUGCUUCUUUCUAUUUGGAGACAACUGUUCUUCUAAGUUCUAACCAGUAAAUUUUCCAGCAGACAAGGGGAGCAAAAGGGAACGAUCGACCCGUCUUGCAUUGUAGGCCAUUCUACAACCUUGACACAUGUCUCUCAAGAUUGGUCAAUUGCACCAAAAGGGUGGUCCCUCAUGAUUAUUCAGAUGCAAUGGCAAAAAGCAACCCCUCAUCAUGUCUUUCAUAAUAUACUUGACUUGGAAGCCAAAAACAAGCAUCUGAUUAUGGUGGUUAACAUUUAAAGAGCAGAGAGAUUCUCUAUUCAAUCGUGGUGGUGCACAAUGAUAUAAAGGCCUAAAAGCACGGUGAUUAAUGAGAUGAGAAUCCACGGCAGGUGAGGUACGUGCAAAAGACACUCCAACCCUCAAAUAAAUCAUAAAUAAGAGAGAAUUUUCUACAAGUCUUGCAGAGCAAUAUGAGAGCAAUUACGAUUAAAAUGUCUAGCUUACAAUGUUAUCAAACUGUGUAUAUAAAGGACAGAGUGAAAAGUAAUAGGAGUAUUUACUCUUACCGGGUUGUUGUGUAGCUAACAUUUGAUGUAUCAACCUUGCUUAGGCAAUUUUUACCAUAAAUUCUAUCAACAUAGUGUUAUAUAAGCAAGUUGGUUUAGAAAGUGGGAGUUUUAUUUUGCUCGUCUUGGCCAACCAGCUUAACGAUCAUUCUGUCGUGUAGUAAUUUGGGCCAACAUGACAGUGGGCUAUAUGGUCAUUUUGGUUGACCACAAGAGAACUCUUUACAUCAACUUUUCCUUAAAAUAAAAUUUGACAUCCAUAAACUACUCAAAGAUGCUUCUUCUCAUAAUUGAUUUUGGCUUUACAAUCAAUAAUAUAAAUUAAAAUGAAAGUUCGUUCACAUUGCACUCAACCGAUAUCAACACGCAUAGCCUCAUAGCCGCAUAACCAUAUAAUGCCGUGCAUUCAUUUCGUCCCUCAAGUGUAGUCAAAGUUCUCAAGAAUGUGCAAAAUGGAAGAGCUGAAGUGCGAGAAAAGCUUAGUCAGGCCACCUCCUUUUAAUUUUCAGUCACAGGCUCACAGCUACUACUCUGCCCUCAGAAGCCAGUAAUAGUACUCUGCUUGCCAAAAGCAAAAUCAACAAUGGAGAAAAGAACAAAAGUUUUACUACUUUAUGUUUGUUGUUGGGACAGCAAUUACUAUUUGUUAUUCAAUCUGGUUGCAGGAGUAAUUUACCUAAUUAUUUAUUUUCUGUCACAAGGCAUGAAUGAUUUGGAGUACCAUUUUGAAAUUUGAACCUCUUUGUGGUUAACUCAUAUGGUAAAACUGGGAUGCUAUUUAUCACUCUCACAGAAUCUAUAAUGUGGUAAACCAACCACUCAGGAAUGGAUGUAGAAUUUAAUUGAUGUGGUAACCUAUAUAUAGUUUUUUCUUUGUGAAAUUUUGUGCAAAAAGUUUUAUAUACACAACUAAAUAUGUGGUUAUCAUUUUACCACAUCCAUGCACACUUGAAUUGCUUUAUACAUUAGUUACAUUCUUGCUCUAUCUUAUA